rnacentral:rRNA from 1 species
GUCCACGCCGUAAACGAUGGAUACUAGCUGUUCGGAGCAAUCUGAGUGGCUAAGCGAAAGUGAUAAGUAUCCCACCUGGGGAGUACGCACGCAAGUGUGAAACUCAAAGGAAUUGACGGGGGGCCCGCACAAGCGGUGGAGCAUGUGGUUUAAUUCGAUGAUACGCGAGGAACCUUACCAGGGCUUAAAUGUAGAUUGACAGGACUGGAAACAGUUUUUUCUCGGACAAUUUACAAGGUGCUGCAUGGUUGUCGU